CCUUAAUUACUUAGUUGGUAAAGAAUCUGCCUGCAAUGCAGGAGACCCCGGUUUGAUUCCUGGGUUGGGAA
rfam:Ovis aries breed Texel chromosome 13, whole genome shotgun sequence.